AUUAUAGAUGUAUUGGUGCAUUAUUCUAGUCGCAAAAAGUAUUUGAAGGUGGGGCUAAAAAUCCAUCAAUUGUACAUAGACACUUUGUAUAUUUGCUUGGGCUGCCCAAGCUUGGGUGAAUAUAUGAUUUAAGAUUUAAGGAAUAAUUAUAACGGCAUAUAAUCACAUAUCCUUUUAUCCCGUCAUACAAAAAAUACAACGUACAUGUCUUGAGUGAUUACGUGGGAUAGCAAUUGAAAACGUAGUUGCAAAAGAGAAUAAGAAUACUCACUAUGCGUUAGAGAAAAUCUCUAGAGUGUAUUGUAUUAUAAGGUUUGAAGUGCAUACUAAGUGGUAAUCGAGUAAUUAUUCACUAGAUAAUAAUUAAUUCCUUUAAAGAGAAAUCGCCCGCGAGUAAUCAGAGGUAGGAAUUAGAGAAAUUCGACUCGACCUAAGAUGCAAAAUUAAUUUAUAGUAUAACCAAAUACAUUU
rnacentral:sRNA from 1 species